rnacentral:rRNA from 1 species
GACGAACGCUGGCGGCGUGCUUAACACAUGCAAGUCGAACGGAAAGGCCCUGCUUUUGUGGGGUGCUCGAGUGGCGAACGGGUGAGUAACACGUGAGUAACCUGCCCUUGACUUUGGGAUAACUUCAGGAAACUGGGGCUAAUACCGGAUAGGAGCUCCUGCUGCAUGGUGGGGGUUGGAAAGUUUCGGCGGUUGGGGAUGGACUCGCGGCUUAUCAGCUUGUUGGUGGGGUAGUGGCUUACCAAGGCUUUGACGGGUAGCCGGCCUGAGAGGGUGACCGGCCACAUUGGGACUGGGGUACGGCCCGGACUCCUACGGGAGGCAGCAGUGGGGAAUAUUGCACAAUGGGCGGAGGCCUAAUGCGGCAACGCCGCGUGCGGGAUGACGGCCUUCGGGUUGUAAACCGCUUUCGCCUGUAACGAAGCGUGAGUGACGGUAAUGGGUAAAGAAGCACCGGCUAACUACGUG